rnacentral:rRNA from 1 species
GAUGAACGCUGGCGGCGUGCCUAAUACAUGCAAGUCGAACGAACAGACGCGGAGCUUGCUCCUCUCACGUUUGCCGCGGGCGUGUGAGUAACACGUGUAUAACCUACCUAUAAUACUGGUAUAACUUCGGGACACCGGCUCUAAUACCGGAGAAUCUAUUGAACCACAUGGGUCAAUAGUGAGAUACGGUUUUUCUGUCACUUAUAGCUGGUUCCGGGCCGCAUGGUCUAGUUGGUAAGUUAACGGGUUACCAAGGCAACGAUGCGUAGCCGACCUGAGAGGGGGGUAGGCCACAUGGGAACUGGGACACGGACAUGACGCCUACGGGAGGGAGCAGUAGGGAAUCUUCCGCAAUGGGCGAAAGCAUGACGGAGCAACGCCGCGUGAGUGAUGAAGGUGUUCGGAUCGUAAAACUCUGUUAUUAGGGAAGAACAAAUGUGUAAGUAACUAUGCACGGAUUGACGGUACCUAAUAAGAAAGCAACGGCUAACUACGUG